ensembl:lncRNA
GGCUGACGAAGGAAUAGCUCACUUUGCUUUCCUCUGCUUUUCCCUAGUUAUGAGUCGACCACCUUCUUGUGUAUCUCCAAGAGCAUUUGCCCAAACCUUCUGCAUGCAGCUCUGUCUCAGAGUCUGCUUGGGGACCCUAACUUCAGACACGCCGAGGAAACACACGCUGCAUCAUCAGCUUGGGUACCAGCACCCUCCUUGGGGUUAGUUGCUCCCAUGUCUUGGCUUCCUUCAUGUGGUGUCUGACUUAGAGUGCUCAUGCAGUGCUCAUGGAAUGAGUGAUUGAAAGCAAAGCUUGGUAGAUGGAGAUGUUUGGAAUUAUGUUCGGGCACAUGAAAAAAGAAACAAGAAAAAUGGAUAAAAAAAUCCCUUUAAAGCAAAACGACUUCAGAUUUGGCAGGUGGGCAGUGGGGACCCAGUGCUGUGAUCCUGUGACCUGAAGUGGGCGGAUGCUCCCAGCUGCUUGCUGACUCUCCCUGGGACCCACAGCCGGGUCAGGGCUGUUCUUGACUGAGUUGUGUCUUCAUGCCAUCCCCCAGCACCUGCCUCAGCCCUGCGCUCUGCUGACACUGGCCUUGAGCUUCUGGCUCAGGUCUGAUCACUCCUUGGCAUCCCUCCCACUGGGCAGGUCUGCUGGCUGUGGGACAUCAUCCAGGGACUUUGCACUCAGCUUUUCUCCUCCUGAGAUAUCUGUAUGCAGGUCAGGAAGCAACAGUUAGAACUGGACAUUAAACAACAGACUGGUUCCAAACAGGAAAAGGAGUACAUCAAGGCUGUAUAUUGUCACCCUGCUUAUUUAAAUUAUAUGCAGAGUACAUCAUGAGAAACGCUGGGCUGGAUGAAAUACAAGCUGGAAUCCAGACUGCUGAGAGAAAUAUCAAUAACCUCAGAUACGCAGAUGACAUCACCCUUAUGGCAGAAAGUGAAGAACUAAAGAGCCUGAAGGCCAGGGGUCUCCAAAUAGAGGAAAUAGCCUGCAAGUGUCAGACAUUUUUAUCUCUCUUAAGUGGCAGGAGGAAACAAACUAGCAAUAUUUUUUCCGUCUCUAUACAAAUUUAAAGGGAGGUUUCUCUUAAAAUAUUGUGUUGCCAUAAUGACACCCGGCUUUGCCUGAAGUUAGCUAUUCUCGAGUCUAGAGAUAACCUAUGCCUUUUUCUUAUGGAAAUGUUUGUCUUAAGCUAUGCUAAUGUACUAUGCCUUUACCCCAAACUCUGUCUCCAAGUAGGUUCCACCUCUUGGCCCAGAACCUACUUGACAAACCAGUAUGGAUAUUGUUCCCCUAAUCUAUGUAAAUGAAACUAUUUGUAUGGUGGUCUGCCCUUCUUCAAGAUUCAAGUUAAUCAUUUUAUGGCCCAUCUGAAUUUUAAGACAUUCCUUUCUUUCAUUAACAGACUGCUAGUGACUAUAUAACAUCCAGCUAAAGACUAGCAGGGGGGUACUCUUUCUGCCCCCUUCUGAUGCAUAUGUCAGAAGCUUUCUCUAUCUCCUUUAUAC